rnacentral:rRNA from 1 species
UAAGGAAUAUUGGGCAAUGGACGCAAGUCUGACCCAACCAUGCCGCGUGCAGGAAGACGGCCCUAUGGGUUGUAAACUGCUUUUCCAGGGAGAGAAACUUGCGUACGCGUUGCGCAAUUGACGGUACCCUGGGAAUAAGCAUCGGCUAACUCCGUGCCAGCAGCCGCGGUAAUACGGCGGAUGCGAGCGUUAUCCGGAUUCAUUGGGUUUAAAGGGUGCGUAGGCGGACUAUUAAGUCAGUGGUGAAAUCCUGCAGCUUAACUGCAGAACUGCCAUUGAUACUGAUAGCCUUGAGUUUGGUUAAGGUAGGCGGAAUGUGUAAUGUAGCAGUGAAAUGCUUAGAUAUUACACAGAACACCAAUUGCGUAGGCAGCUUACUGAGCCGACACUGACGCUGAGGCACGAAAGCGUGGGGAUCGAACA